UCAGGCUUCGGUAAGGUCGUGUCAGCUGACUUGGCUUAUGGUAACCGAAUUUUUCACCUCCAUGGUUUCCCCAGGAUAUGAAUUGGGGGCUUAACCUCACCGACAAGGGUCAGGUGAGCUUUCUGGAUGCCGAGGCACCUUUCAGCCUGCGCCGCCUGAGGAGCUCGUCCCACUGCCCUGCCAUUUCUGUGAGGACCCACAAAGCCCGGGAGGAGCCUCGGAGCCCCCGCGGGUCCUCCCGCCACUGCCUAGAGAGGGUGCUCGGAGCACUGCUCAGGAACUGGUCCCCAGCGAGGUGUCGAACCCCUCCUUGCUGGAACUCCACGGAGAGAGUGAUUCUCUGCAGGACCCAUAUCCUGGAUGUGGACACCCACAGUCCUGCUAGGACGUGCUUCCAGAAGAAUUGAUCCCAGCCAUGAAACUGCCGGAUGCCUUCAGUGAAGCAAGCAGGAAAGGCUCAAGUGAUCCUCCUGUAUCACUCUUAGACGGGUUUCGUCAUGUUGCCCAGGCU